AGGAGAGGUUGUAAGUUAUGAUGAAGUAAAAUCACAUAGCCAAAUACUAAUUCUCCGCAAGCAGAUGCAUUCACUGACCCUGAUUUCAAUUGUGAACAAGUCACUGAUGCAGACACAACUUUCAAGGAUUCAAUGGCUGAUAAUGAGAUAACUUCUCCUGCAAAGACCCAUGCCAAGAGAAGUAGAGAAGAGGUUGAUGAUGAUCUUGCACAAUUUUCAAGUAACAAGGUUAAAAGAGUGAUUAAACAGGAGAAAAAUCCAUGAAUGGAUGCAUUUACCUCAUUUGAAAUGACAUUAUUCGUACAAUUGCAUUAGCAAGUACUUUGGUAUG